rnacentral:rRNA from 1 species
CCUACGGGCUGCUGCAGUGGGGAAUAUUGGACAAUGGGCGAAAGCCUGAUCCAGCCAUGCCGCGUGUGUGAAGAAGGCCUUCGGGUUGUAAAGCACUUUCAGUGGGGAAGAAAGCCUUGGGGCUAAUACCCUCGAGGAAGGACAUCCCACACAGAAGAAGCACCGGCUAACUCCGUGCCAGCAGCCGCGGUAAUACGGAGGGUGCGAGCGUUAAUCGGAAUUACUGGGCGUAAAGCGCGCGUAGGCGGUCUGAUAAGCCGGUUGUGAAAGCCCCGGGCUCAACCUGGGAACGGCAUCCGGAACUGUCAGGCUAGAGUGCAGGAGAGGCAGGUAGAAUUCCCGGUGUAGCGGUGAAAUGCGUAGAGAUCGGGAGGAAUACCAGUGGCGAAGGCGGCCUGCUGGACUGACACUGACGCUGAGGUGCGAAAGCGUGGGUAGCAAACAGGAUUAGAUACCCGGGUAGUC